GGAGAGGUGUCUCGAGUUGGUUUAAGGUGCCGCUCUCGAAAAGCGGUGUCCGUGAAAGCGGACCGCGGGUUCGAAUCCCGCCCUCUCCGCCA
rnacentral:tRNA from 1 species